CACAACAGAGUGGGUGUUACUUGCAUUCUGCCUUGAGCCCCACCCCAUCAAUGGUGUUCUGCAGUUCAAAUGUCUUUCGAGAUCACCGUGCCAUCAGAAGCAACCUCAGGAAUCAGUAAGAACACAUCUGCAGAGUUUGCUUGAUCCAUAAAGUCUUCGGGAUCAUGGAUCUACUAGGGCCAUCUCUGUGGUGCCUGGGGCUUUUCUUAGCUGCAAGCAGUACUGAAGCGAGAUUGACUCAACCAAAAGCCUCAUCAGCGUCCCUGGGAAAUGCAGUUCGCCUUUCCUGCACCCUCUCAACUGACAGCAUCGCAACAUAUACCAUACUCUGGUUUCAGCAUAAAUAUCCAAGCCCUCCAACAUACCUCCUGAAUUACAAAGAUGAUUCUAGCCAAGGAAAGGUCGCUGGGGUCUCAGAUCGCUUCUCUGCUUCCAAAGACAUCAGUGCCAGCACCUGUUACCUGACCAUCUCCAGGGUCCAGUCAGAAGAUGAAGGUGCUUAUUUUUGUGUGACAUCCAAAGGGGGAGAGUAGCACCAUGUUACAAGUAAUGAUAACAUUGAGACAAAUGCCUUGUCUCAUCUCCUUGGGGAGCACAUGGAUGCAGUUGACAAGAUAGGCAUCUGGCGGAUGGCUGCAGCUUGAGAUUUGCAUGAAGAAGCUAUGUAUAGCCUAGAUUUUAUUUUCAGAAGAUCUUCAGUAGAGGAGUCUCGGUUGCUUGUGAAGCCAUGAAAGGGUGAAUAUGUCAAGGAGAACUUCCUUCAAGUUCAUGCAAACUGGAUAAGCAAACAUGAAAGAAUAGAUUAUGGAUGAUGAUACAUUAAACAGCAUGCAUAAUUUAUAUAAAAUUCAUCCUUUUGUUUUUGAAGGAGAUAAUUUCCAUCAGAUUUACCAGAGAGUGGAUUUGGGGAAAGAUUGCAGUGUCCGGUAACUCCAGGGCCCGAAGUCCCAAAUGGCACUGGCCAUGUCAUCUGUCAAGCAAAUUGAGCAGCUAGACCUGUUCACAAA